GAAGUGGAUAAUCUAAAGCUGCUAACUUUUGAAAUAGCGACUAACAUCGUUAACACUUCU
rnacentral:tRNA from 1 species